UACGGAGGGUGCAAGCGUUGUCCGGAUUUAUUGGGGUUAAAGGGUGCGUAGGCGGCCCGUUAAGUCAGUGGUGAAAGCCUCCAGCUCAACUGGAGAACUGCCAUUGAUACUGGCGGGCUUGAGUACAGACGAGGUAGGCGGAAUUGAUUGUGUAGCGGUGAAAUGCAUAGAUACAAUCAAGAACACCGAUUGCGUAGGCAGCUUACUAGGCUGUAACUGACGCUGAGGCACGAAAGCGUGGGGAGCGAACAGG
rnacentral:rRNA from 1 species